rnacentral:sRNA from 1 species
UUAUGGUAUCUGAAGAAUAAUACAAAGAGAGUGAUAGCUUUUGCUUCCUCUCCAUUACCGACACGAUCUUCAACGUUGUGGGACGGUUGUGGGGGAUUCGUAUGUACAGAUUCAGACAAACAUCCAGCCACCUUGAUUGAAUCUUUUGCUUUGUUGGGAGUCUCGAAGUUCAGCUGGUCUACUGAACUCACUGUUAUCUGAUUCAAAGAGGCUAAAGAAGAGCUUCGAGUCAGAGUACCAGAUGCCACUGUUAUUUCGUCCCUCUCAUCGAUUGUUGAUUCGAGGGAGCAUACUGAUCUUGCCGUGUGUGAAUGCAACGAAUCAUGCUUAGACUUGUGUUUCACUCUUUUACACCAACUAUGCAGGGACUCUCUAACUCUCUCCGCCACUAAGGCCUUCUUA